rfam:Planomonospora sphaerica DNA, contig: NODE_2_L658191_C34.
GCGGUUCCGGUUCCCGCCCACUCGCACCUCAGUGUGUUCUCCCCGCCUCCGCGGGGGUGGACCCUGGCGACCCGGCGACC